UAUGGCUCAGGAUGAACGCUGGCGGCGUGCUUAAUACAUGCAAGUCGAACGAAGCGCUUACAGCCGAUCCCUUCGGGGUGAAGCAGUUGUGACUUAGUGGCGGACGGGUGAGUAACGCGUGGGUAACCUGCCUCAUGCGGGGGGAUAACAGUUAGAAAUGACUGCUAAUACCGCAUAAGCGCACAGUACCGCAUGGUACAGUGUGAAAAGAUUUAUCGGCAUGAGAUGGACCCGCGUCUGAUUAGGUAGUUGGUGAGGUAACGGCCCACCAAGCCGACGAUCAGUAGCCGACUUGAGAGAGUGAUCGGCCACAUUGGGACUGAGACACGGCCCAGACUCCUACGGGAGGCAGCAGUAGGGAAUAUUGCACAAGUAGGGGGAAACCCUGAUGCAAGCGACGCCGCGUGAGUGAAGAAGUAUUUCGGUACGUAAAGCUCUAUCAGCAGGGAAGAUAAUGACGGUACCUGACUAAGAAGCCCCGGCUAACUACGUGCCAGCAGCAGC
rnacentral:rRNA from 1 species